GGAGGUGUGGCUCAGCAGGAAGAGUUCCUGUCUAGUAAGCAUGAGGCCCUGGGUUCCAACCCCAGUAUUGCUG
rnacentral:tRNA from 1 species